rnacentral:rRNA from 1 species
UACGUAGGGGGCAAGCGUUGUCCGGAAUCAUUGGGCGUAAAGAGCGUGUAGGCGGCUAGAUAAGUCCGCUGUGAAAUCUCGAGGCUCAACUUCGAGCUGUCGGUGGAAACUGUCUGGCUAGAGUCCGGAAGAGGAGAAUGGAAUUCCUGGUGUAGCGGUGAAAUGCGCAGAUAUCAGGAAGAACACCCGUGGCGAAGGCGGCUCUCUGGUACGUGACUGACGCUGAGACGCGAAAGCGUGGGGAGCAAACAGG